AUGACCAUUGAUGCUGGAAGAUAUGUUUUAGAAGUGUUUGCCAAUGGUAAACUACUUGACAGCUUCACUCACGACGUCCAUGUUGUAGUUCAUUUAACAGCACAGAAAGGCAAAGCACUGAUGUUUGAUGAACUGCUGCAUGAGGCUGAGAGGGUUGAGCAUUUCACAAAGUCUGGGCGGAAACAGGUGUGGAGUAGAGAACGGGGCGUCCUGACUGAUCGACUCACCGAAAAGAAUGGCCGUCCUGACCAUUGAAACUUUAAAUCUAGUGAUGAAGGAACUUACACAGCUCAAACCUCGACAAGAGAAAUCCUCGUCACCAUGACGGUCACAGGUGAAAGAUAUUUGAUCGAAGUGUAGAAAUAUUAAAGUGCCCCUAUUAUGGAUUUUUUUUCUAUUACCUUUCAUGCAACACAGCUCUAAGUAAAUGAAAACAUCCUUCAAAGUUUGAAAUCUGAAAGUGCACCGUGUAUAAAGUUAUUGUCUUGAGUUGAUUCUGAAUCAUUGAAACGAGUUGUUUUUAAAACAAAUCCCAAGCCGUUUCAUGUUUCAUUAGCAUAUUCCUCCACCCAUUCCUCUUUUCACAUUGGUCUGAAUCAAAAUACAAAUUCAUUCUUUGUCACUAGGGGGCGCUCUUGGAGCGGUAAAAAUCGCAGUUUUUAACACUGCUUGAUCAGGCAUUACAGGCAUGUAAUUUUAAUUAUAAAAGUGGACAGAUGAGAUUUAAUCAUCAUGAUUUGAAUCGCAAAUUAAUAUUAAACGGUGUCACUGACCUUUCAACAUUCUCUACAGAAUCUAUAGUGGUUUGCUCAUACUGGUUGUUUUUGACUCUAGAUGUGACCCUGGAGCACAAUCGCGGGGUAUGUUUACACAUUUUUGAACAAUUCAAUUUUUUUAUGUUUUUGUAAUUAACUACACAUUCUGCACAAUUAUAUGUUUAAGAAGUGUAGUUAGUAUGCUGCACUUUAAGAAAAAUCUGUAAAAUAGGCCACAAUGUACAACUUAAGGGAUAAUGUCCUGGCAGAAGUUUACCAGUUUACUUAGAUUUUAAAACUGAUAAAAAAA